GACAGAGGGGGCAAGCGUUGCUCGGAAUUACUGGGCGUAAAGGGCGCGUAGGCGGGAUGGCAAGUCGGUCGUGAAAUCCCUCGGCUCAACCGAGGAACGUCGAUCGAUACUGCCGUUCUUGAGGAUUGCAGAGGAGACUGGAAUUCCCGGUGUAGCGGUGAAAUGUGUAGAGAUCGGGAGGAACACCGGUGGCGAAGGCGGGUCUCUGGGCAAUUCCUGACGCUGAGGCGCGAAAGCGUGGGGAGCAAACGGG
rnacentral:rRNA from 1 species